rnacentral:rRNA from 1 species
AGUGAACGCUGGCGGUAGGCCUAACACAUGCAAGUCGAACGGCAGCACAGUAAGAGCUUGCUCUUACGGGUGGCGAGUGGCGGACGGGUGAGGAAUACAUCGGAAUCUACUUUUUCGUGGGGGAUAACGUAGGGAAACUUACGCUAAUACCGCAUACGACCUACGGGUGAAAGCAGGGGAUCUUCGGACCUUGCGCGAUUGAAUGAGCCGAUGUCGGAUUAGCUAGUUGGCGGGGUAAAGGCCCACCAAGGCGACGAUCCGUAGCUGGUCUGAGAGGAUGAUCAGCCACACUGGAACUGAGAAAAGGUCCAGACUCCUAAGGGAGGCAGCAGUGGGGAAUAUUGGACAAUGGGCGGAAGCCUGAUCCAGCCAUACCGCGUGGGGGAAGAAGGCCUUCGGGUUGUAAAGCCCUUUUGUUGGGAAAGAAAAGCAGCAGGUUAAUACCCCGCUGUUCUGACGGUACCCAAAGAAUAAGCACCGGCUAACUUCGUG